rnacentral:rRNA from 1 species
AAGGGCACCACAAGAACGCGUGGAGCAUGUGGCUUAAUUUGACUCAACGCGGGAAAUCUUACCGGGUCCGGACACACUGAGGAUUGACAGGCAAAAUUAUUUAUAUGCUUUUUUAUUUUUAUAACUAAGCAUUUUAUAUGCAAAUAUGCUAGUCCUUUCAUGAUUAUGUGAUAGGUGGUGCAUGGCCGUUCUUAGUUCGUGGAGUGAUCUGUCUGCUUAAUUGCGUUUCACCAAGGGUUUAUAACAAACGUAUGUUGCGCCGUUUCGAUCCCGCUUUUUACUAAGUGUGUGGUCUUAGCGCGUUGCGCAUACAAAUAGGCCCUGAAAGCAACGAACGUGACCGCAACCUCUUGUUGCCUUUAUUCAAAAUAGCGUUGAUUUGUGAGGGAUUUAUUUUCUUUGCUUUUUUUCGCUAAAAAAGAGGCUUUAAAACUAGAGGGACCGCUGUAUCUUCUUUAAACCAGAGGAAGGUUGCGGCAAUAACAGGUCUGUGAUGCCCUUAGAUGUUCCGGGCUGCACACGUGCUACAAUGAUUAUUGCAGUGAGCAUCUCAUACACACACCGCUUGCGCAGGCAGUUUAUUUGCUUUUUUUUUUAAGAGCAUUUAAUCCUGUUUUUGCGCGCGGUAAAGCCUGCUUCGAAAGUAAGUAGGUAAUCAAUUUGAAGUAAUGAUUUCCCAGCUUUUUAAAGUACAGCACACUUAUAUACGGCGUUGGUACCCAUAGCUUGCCCUUGCGGUUUAGUUAUUGUGUGUUGCCUAACGUUAGCUUUGUCUCAAAGUUAUUCGUAUGUGCUUUUGUCAAUUCAAGGUGGGGACAGACCAUUGUUAAUUGUUGGUCUCGGUUCAACUAGGAAUGCCUUGUACAGGUCUUUGGUUCAACAAACCACCUGGAAUACGUCCCUGCCCUUUGUACACACCGCCCGUCGCUCUUACCGAUGGACUUCUCUGUGAGUUUGAGGGACUGGGUUAAUUCGUUUUUUUUAAAACGAAGACACCUAUGGAAACUUAAACGAACAGUGUGGUCUAAAGGAAAGAGAAGUCGUAACAAGGCAUCGGUAGGUGAACCU